rnacentral:lncRNA from 1 species
ACAUAAUCUGUAACAUAACACAUUGGUACGAACACAACAAUAUUCCAGAAUUACUCCCUAACUUUUAAAGAAGAUUUCAUGUGGCUAAUGAUAUCGGAUCAGGGUGUGUUAUAGCUCGUUGGAAAGCUAGUCGAACCAUCUUCAACUCUCAUGAAGGCAUCAAACACAGAAAACCACAGCAACCAGCUCAUAUAAGGUCAUUUGUACAAAAGGUCAUCCAAAACAGAGAACCAAUCAGAA